UAAUACGGAGGGUGCAAGCGUUAUCCGGAUUCACUGGGUUUAAAGGGUGCGUAGGUGGCUUUGUAAGUCAGUGGUGAAAUCUUAGAGCUUAACUCUAAAACUGCCAUUGAUACUGCUUAGCUUGAAUCAAGUAGAGGUGGAUGGAAUAAUACAUGUAGCGGUGAAAUGCUUAGAUAUGUAUUAGAACACCGAUUGCGAAGGCAGUUCACUAUGCUUGUAUUGACACUGAGGCACGAAAGCGUGGGGAUCAAACAGGAUUAGAUACCCUGGUAGUCCACGCCCUAAACGAUGUAAACUCGACAUUAGCGAUAUACAGUUAGUGUCCAAGCGAAAGCGUUAAGUUUACCACCUGGGAAGUACGUCCGCAAGGAUG
rnacentral:rRNA from 1 species